UCCAAGGGAUUUUUAUCUCCUCGAUUAGUUGAUUCAUAGCCUCCGAUGAUACGAGGCCUAAGCUCUGGUGAUACCAUGAAUUCACAAUUUCAGAUUCAAACUCCGGCUUCAUCUGUCAAACUCUCCUCUCUUCUCCUCUGUCACGAGAGAUCAAAUCAGAUUCGCUAUCGGAGAUGGCUACAAAAAUCAGAAGAAAUAAAAGUUGUGGCAGAGAUGGGGAUUCUUCGUUUACCAAAUGCAUAAGCUUUAAAUAUCCGAACUGGAAUUGUGUAUUUUGUUUGUAUUUAAAGUAAAAGAGUCACUUUCAGCCUGAUAAAAUCUUUUGUCUGCAACAAUUUCUUGAAAGACUUGCGCUGAGCGGCGGAUUGGUGGUGUCUCAGACGAUUGAAGUGUGAAGACGAUCCUAGAAAGACUGCAGGAACUAGAAGGAUGAUGUACUUCCAUGGUUUUACUUCUUUUGGGUGAUCUAUCACAGUGAUUCAGUAUGCAACUGAGGUAAUCUGUACUUCAGCAAGGCAGUAUCUUUGAGAUUGGAACACAAUGAACAAUGGAAGAAAUGUCACAGUAUCUAUGAAGGCUCUCAGAUUAUCUAUGAUGAUGGUUCAAAGAUUCGUUCAUGUAACAAGAAUGAGUUAGAUUUUUUUAUAGUGUUGUUGAAAUUUUUUAAACAGGAAAUAGCGUCACUAUUUUUAUCAUUGGUUGUUUUACAUGAGUCUUAUGUGAAUAAUCGCUCCGAUCAAUUUCAAUCAAAA